rnacentral:rRNA from 1 species
UACAUGGGGUGCAAACGUUGCUCGGAAUCAUUGGGCGUAAAGCGCGCGUAGGCGGUUACUUAAGUCGAAUGUGAAAGCCCUCGGCUUAACCGAGGAAGUGCAUCCGAAACUGAGUAGCUAGAGUACGAAAGAGGGUCGCGGAAUUCCCGGUGUAGAGGUGAAAUUCGUAGAUAUCGGGAGGAACACCGGUGGCGAAGGCGGCUCUCUGGUCCACAACUGACGCUGAGGUGCGAAAGCUAGGGGAGCAAACGGG